GGGGAUUUAGCUCAGUGGUAGAGCGCUUGCCUCGCAAGUGCAAGGCCCUGGGUUCGGUCCCCAGCUCCG
rfam:Rattus norvegicus chromosome 1, whole genome shotgun sequence.